AGGGUGAUAGUCCCGUAGUUGACGACGUGUGUUCAGUGAAAUCGAGUAGGGCGGGACACGUGAUAUCCUGUCUGAAUAUGGGGGGACCAUCCUCCAAGGCUAAAUACUACUGACUGACCGAUAGUGAACCAGUACCGUGAGGGAAAGGCGAAAAGAACCCCUGUGAGGGGAGUGAAAUAGAACCUGAAACCGUGUACGUACAAGCAGUAGGAGCAGGCUUUGUCCUGUGACUGCGUACCUUUUGUAUAAUGGGUCAGCGACUUAUAUUCAGUGGCAAGGUUAACCAUCUAGGGGAGCCGUAGGGAAACCGAGUCUUAACUGGGCGUUCAGUCUCUGGAUAUAGACCCGAAACCAGGUGAUCUAGCCAUGGGCAGGUUGAAGGUUGAGUAACAUCAACUGGAGGACCGAACCGACUAAUGUUGAAAAAUUAGCGGAUGAC
rnacentral:rRNA from 1 species